UCCAGGGAGCUUCUCUGCCUCAGCACCUGUCUCUCUGCCUGCCUGUUCCCCCUACCCUCAUAUUUUGGAGGUCUUCUCCAUCCCACAUCCUAACAGAGGGUCAUUUUCAAGGCUGGCCUCUGCCCCGGGAACAAAAGUCUCAGAAAAGAUGAACAAGCCCAAGUCACCUACACCACAUGAGGAAGAUAAAUCAGAGCUCUUCCCAGCAUUUCCUGAUUCCUCCUACUCAGGGCCUGCGAUGACCCAUGGCUCCCAGAAGACACUGCAGACCCCACAGAGACUCCUGUCCUGCUAGGCAGGGGCACUCGCUACCAAAUAAGGGCAAAACACUUUAGAGUCUGCACAGCCUCUACUCUAGGUAGUUAGGGAAAGCUGUUCCCAGUGCCACCAGGGGACUGGAAGCCACAUGGCAGUCUGGGGGUGGGUAGUGAGGGAGUCCCUCUCCCUCUCUUCCUCGGGGCAGUCGUGAUGGGCUGACAGACAGGCUGGGUCUGCUGCCAAGCACCACACUGCCAACUGCCCACCAGGAUGCUAACUGACUGCCCGUCCUCAGGAGCCUGCCAACUGCCUGUCACCCGGCUAGCCAACUGCCAGUCAGACCAAGACCUGGGAACUCCAGACUGCAGGUCAGGACCUCAGCCAACUGUCACUCCCAAGGCCCAGGGGCAAGUCAGGGGUCCCACCGCUGGUCAUCCUGAUGACAGCUACUGAUGAGGCUACCUAGCAUCCUGUCACCCUUUCCCUGGCAAGGAACUCACCAUCUCCAGCUCUCAGUCUGUGGGCUCCAGGACUGAUUGGCUUCUUGGCUGCAAGGGACAGAACACAGGACUCGGGCUUGGUCCUUGAACCUGGGAGAGAGUGUAUGUGGCUGGAGCUGAAGCAGCCUUCUUGCCAUCAGGAGAGUAAGAGCGCUGAGAGGAGCCAGUCCAAACACAUGGAAAUGAAGAAGACAGAGAGGCCGGUGUGUGUCAGGUCCUGGAGUCAGCCAUUCCCGAAACAAGUUACCAUUGGGCUUUCUCCUGUGAACCAAUAAACCUUGCCUUUUGCCAA